rnacentral:tRNA from 1 species
UCCUCGGUAGUAUAUCGGCUAGUACACCCGCCUGUCAUACGUAGAGAUUGCCUGCUCAUCGCGGGAGAGCGGGGUUCGACUCCCCGCCGAGGAG